GUGGUUCCUGAGGACUGGAGUUGGGGAUCCCUGAUCUAGCAGCAAAACAGAAAAUAAGAAUUAGUAACAACUUUCUGUUAUUAAUAGUGAUUUAAGCUGUAUGCAGCCAUGGGAAUAGAUUACUAUUGGGACUGGAGCUGAAAUGAGAGCCCAUUAAAGAGGAAGUGUGCUGUAACUGAUGGCAAACUGACAUUAUUUUGUACAACGUAGACAUAAAAAUGAAAAAUCUCCUGAGAGAUGCUAAUAAAUAGUGCUGGGUGCCAGGUGGCUUUUAUAUUUUCUUGAUUCAAACAAAGGAAGUGUUUGUAGAAGAAACUCACUCCAGUCUAUCACUGUGAUGACUACUUUGACUACUGGGGAAAAGGAACAAUGGUGACGGUCACAUCAGAGACUUCAAAGCCUCCGGUUGUGUUUCCUCUGGUGCCAUGUGGCUCUGGGGGCAGUGACACGGUCACUCUCGGCUGCCUCGCCACCGGUUUUACCCCCUCGCCGCUGACUUUCACCUGGAAACUAGACAACACUGCUCUGACGGAUGUCAUCACAUACCCUUCAAUGCAGAAAGGCAGUGAAUACAUGGGGAUCACUCAAGUUCGAGUCAGAAGAGCGGACUGGGAUGCCAAAAAGCAAUUCCAAUGUGUCGCAAAUAACGCUGCAGGGGAAAGUACUGGUCAAGUUGUAAAGCAAAACGUGGUUUAUUUGGAGCCAACUGUUAGACUGUGUUCCUCCACUAACGAGGAGAAAAAAGAAGCUUACUUCUCCUGCUUUGCCAAAGACUUUUCACCUCAUAAUUAUGAGUUCAGAUGGCUGAAAGAUGAGGCGGAAAUCACCAGCUGGCAAGACCAGGUCAUUACUUCAUCUGCAGUGAGAAAUGACACGAAUGGAACCAUCCUGUACAGUGCAGUGAGUCUGCUCACACUCAAGACCGAAGGCUUGCACGAAACAACACUUAAAUGUGUGUUUAAGGGGAAAGGGGAAAACAACACUGCAGUUUUCCAGAAUGACAGCUUUUCCUACAGAGACGCAGCUCUACCUGUUGGGUGUAACAAAGCAGAUGUAAACAUAGAGAUCCUAGAACCCACAAACCAGGACAUGCUUGUAAAACAAGCAGGGAAAUUAAUAUGUAAAGUCAAGGCCAGUGGGGGGAACUAUGAGGUCUAUUGGGAGGACACCAAAGGAACAGAACUGGUGUCUGCUGUGAAAAACGGGAUAGCAGCACACACAUAUGAAGCUGUGCUUGACAUCACCUAUAAUGAAUGGAGUAAAGGGCUGGAGCGAAUCUGUGUCGUUCACGGUGAAAACCUCGUGGAUCCAUUGAAGAAGCUUUAUAAAAGGACAAGGGGAGCAUCGCUUCAGAGUCCAGCUGUCUUUUUGUUGCCUCCAGUAGAGCAAACUAGGAAAAACAUGGUGACCCUGACUUGCUAUGUGAAAGACUUCUCUCCUAAAGAGGUUUAUGUGGCUUGGCUUGUUGAUGAUAAGCCAGCAGUGCCAAAGUACCAAUUCCUGACCACAGAGCCAGUGUUGAGCAAUGGAAGCUACUCUGUUUACAGCCAGCUGACCCUCCCCCUAGCAGACUGGCACCAGACUGACGUGGUCUACAGCUGCACUGUUUACCACGAGUCUCUGAUUGGCUCAGUGGGAUCCAUCGUUAGAUCCAUUGGAUACAGAACCAAUGAAAACACCAACCUGGUCAACUUGAGCAUGAACAUCCCCAACAUGUGCAAGGCCCAGUAGAUGUGUCUCUGUGUCUUCUGUUCUCUGUUGUUUGUGAUCAUAUUGUGUUUGUGUUUUAAUGCAUAUUAAAAUCUAAAUAAAAAAAAAACAACAAUUA